rnacentral:rRNA from 1 species
CACAAGCGGUGGAUGAUGUGGUUUAAUUCGAUGCAACGCGAAAACCUUACCCACCUUGACAUGUACGGAAUCCUUUAGAGAUAGAGGAGUGCUCGAAAGAGAGCCGGAACACAGGUGCUGCAUGGCUGUCGCCAGCUCGUGUCGUGAGAUGUUGGGUUAAGUCCCGCAACGAGCGCAACCCUUGUCAUUAGUUGCCAUCAUUUGGUUGGGCACUCUAAUGAGACUGCCGGUGACAAACCGGAGGAAGGUGGGGAUGACGUCAAGUCCUCAUGGCCCUUAUGGGUAGGGCUUCACACGUCAUACAAUGGUCGGUACAGAGGGUUGCCAACCCGCGAGGGGGAGCUAAUCCCACAAAGCCGAUCGUAGUCCGGAUCGCAGUCUGCAACUCGACUGCGUGAAGUCGGAAUCGCUAGUAAUCGUGGAUCAGCAUGUCACGGUGAAUACGUUCCCGGGCCUU